UGGAGGUUUGAAAAAUUCACCUGUUGAGUUUGUUUUAUCGGUUUUACGUUUCAGUCGCGCGAUCGGCCGCAAACGAAACAGGUGUAUGAGCUAAACUGCAUGCGAGACUCGCGUUGUGAUAAGAGUAAAAAAAACGUUGAAAUUGUGGCGAACCCGAAGUGCAACUUGAAGCAACAACAUGGCCUCCAGCAACAGCAACAGCAGCACCAAAACCAACAACAACAGCAGCACCACCAACAGUGAUUUGGAUUGUCAAGUGAAUGUGGAGGAUUUGCCCAUAACCUUCAAGGUCAAAUACAUUGGCUCGGAGGCAUCACGUGGCCUUUGGGGCAUUAAAUACACACGUCGCCCCGUUGAUAUUAUGGUGGGCGUGGCCAAGAAUCUGCCGCCCAACAAGGUGCUGCCCAACUGCGAUCUGAAGGUGUCCACAACGGGAGUUCAGCUGGAGAUCAUCUCGCCCAAGGCGAGCAUCAACAACUGGAGCUAUCCCAUCGAUACGAUCUCUUAUGGUGUACAGGAUUUGGUUUACACACGUGUCUUUGCCAUGAUCGUGGUCAAGGAUGAGGCGAGUCCGCAUCCUUUUGAGGUGCAUGCCUUUGUCUGUGACAGUCGCGCCAUGGCACGCAAAUUGACCUUUGCCCUGUCCGCCGCCUUCCAGGACUAUUCGCGAGUCGUGAAGGAAGCAUCAGGCGAGGAUACGGUUGAUAAUACGGGAGCCACACACAACGACAUCAUAACGCCCACGAGACAAAAGUUCGCCAUUGAUCUGCGUACGCCCGAAGAGAUUCAGGCUGGAGAACUGGAUCAGGAAACGGAGGCGUAGGGAAAACCCCUCCCCUUUUUCUAUCUAUCAGUAUAUGUGUAUUUUUUUUAUGUGUGAUUGUCAUAGUUACUUAUUGUACAGUACAGUAGUUGCAGUUGCCUUUGUUAUUAUCUAUCCUCUCUCUCUCUCUCUCUCUCUCUGUAUCUUUAUCACUAUCUCUCACCUGGUAGUAGCCUCAUACAGCUAAUUACCCAAAGCAUAAGCAUUAAAACAACUGUAAACAACAAAUAAUCUUUUUACGUAAAAAUAAAA